GCCCAUAAGAUAGCUGUUGGCUGGUUUGAUUUCAGUGGGUGUGUAAGUGCGAACACAAAUCCAGUCUAGUCAGGUCAAGUCUUUGAUUCUUUGUUUUUACUGGAAUUGUGUGUAUGUAUAUGGGUGUAUGUAUUUGUGUGUAUUUAUAUGUGUGUAUGUAUAUGUGUGUAUGUAUUUGUGUGUAUUUAUAUGUGUGUAUGUAUAUGGGUGUAUGUAUUUGUGUGUAUGUAUAUGGGUGUAUGUAUUUGUGUGUAUUUAUAUGGGUGUAUGUAUUUGUGUGUAUUUAUAUGUGUGUAUGUAUAUGUGUGUAUGUAUUUGUGUGUAUUUAUAUGUGUGUAUGUAUAUGGGUGUAUGUAUUUGUGUGUAUGUAUAUGGGUGUGUGUAUUUGUGUGUAUGUAUAUGGGUGUAUGUAUUUGUGUGUAUUUAUAUGGGUGUAUGUAUUUGUGUGUAUUUAUAUGGGUGUAUGUAUUUGUGUGUAUGUAUAUGGGUGUGUGUAUUUGUGUGUAUUUAUAUGGGUGUAUGUAUUUGUGUGUAUGUAUAUGGGUGUGUGUAUUUGUGUGUAUUUAUAUGGGUGUAUGUAUUUGUGUGUAUGUAUAUGGGUGUGUGUAUUUGUGUGUAUUUAUAUGGGUGUAUGUAUUUGUGUGUAUUUAUAUGGGUGUGUGUAUUUGUGUGUAUUUAUAUGGGUGUAUGUAUUUGUGUGUAUGUAUAUGGGUGUGUGUAUUUGUGUGUAUGUAUAUGGGUGUAUGUAUUUGUGUGUAUGUAUAUGGGUGUAUGUAUUUGUGUGUAUUUAUAUGGGUGUAUGUAUUUGUGUGUAUUUAUAUGGGUGUAUGUAUUUGUGUGUAUUUAUAUGGGUGUAUGUAUUUGUGUGUAUGUAUAUGGGUGUGUGUAUUUGUGUGUAUUUAUAUGGGUGUUCUUUAAGUGGAGGACCAAUGAAAUACAUUCCAUUAGGCCCACAAUAUUCAAUACCACAAUACAUUACUGAAUUAAAUGGCAUCCUCAGACAUCUUGAAGAAAUAUUGAAGAAAAGAAACUUCAAUUAGGCCAUAGAGAAACAAUCCAUUAUUCCUA
rnacentral:lncRNA from 1 species